rnacentral:rRNA from 1 species
GACGAACGCUGGCGGCGUGCUUAACACAUGCAAGUCGAACGGAAAGGCCUGCUUUCCCUUGUGGAUUGCGGGUACUCGAGUGGCGAACGGGUGAGUAACACGUGAGUGAUCUGCCCCCAACUUGGGUAUAAGCCUGGGAAACUGGGUCUAAUUCCCGAUAGGACUGCAGGGUGGUGCCUGUGGUGGAAAACGAUUUUCUAGUGGUUGGGGAUGAGCUCGCGGCCUAUCAGCUUGUUGGUGGGGGAAUGGCCUACCAAGGCGGCGACGGGUAGCCGGCCUGAGAGGGUGGACGGCCACAUUGGGACUGAGAUACGGCCCAGACUCCUACGGGAGGCAGCAGUGGGGAAUAUUGCCCAAUGGGCGGAAGCCUGAUGCAGCGACGCCGCGUGGGGGAUGACGGCCUUCGGGUUGUAAACUCCUUUCGACCGCGAGGAAGCCACCUGGUUGGAAGGGUGGUGACGGUAGUGGUAGAAGAAGCACCGGCUAACUACGUG